rnacentral:rRNA from 1 species
UUCACGUUCAGCAUGCAGAUUCAUUUUCUGCCACCGAAUACAUUAGCAUGGGAUAAUGGAAUAGGACCCUGUCCUCCUAUUUUCAGUUGGUUUUGGCAGCGCGAGGACUAGGGUAAUGAUUAAUAGGGAUAGUUGGGGGCAUUAAUAUUUAAUUGUCAGAGGUGAAAUUCUUGGAUUUAUGAAAGAUUAACUUCUGCGAAAGCAUCUGCCAAGGAUGUUUUCAUUAAUCAAGAACGAAAGUUAGGGGAUCGAAGACGAUCAGAUACCGUCGUAGUCUUAACCAUAAACGAUGCCGACCAGCGAUUAGGAGACGUUGAAUACAAAACACCACCAUCGGCGCGGUCGCCCUUGGCGUUCGUGUUCACGCACGGGCGCGAGGGCGGCUUAGCCCGAUGGCACCGGUGAAUGACUCCCCUAGCGCCUUGUGAGAAAAUAAAAAAAAAAAAAAGAAGCGAAAC